rnacentral:rRNA from 1 species
GGCGGCGUGCUUAACACAUGCAAGUCGAGCGGAAAGGCCCUUCGGGGGUACUCGAGCGGCGAACGGGUGAGUAACACGUGAGUAACCUGCCCCUGACUCUGGGAUAAGCCCGGGAAACUGGGUCUAAUACCGGAUACGACCACUCCAGGCAUCUGGUGGUGGUGGAAAGAACUUUGGUCAGGGAUGGGCUCGCGGCCUAUCAGCUUGUUGGUGGGGUAGUGGCCUACCAAGGCGACGACGGGUAGCCGGCCUGAGAGGGCGACCGGCCACACUGGGACUGAGACACGGCCCAGACUCCUACGGGAGGCAGCAGUGGGGAAUAUUGCGCAAUGGGCGAAAGCCUGAGCCAGCGACGCCGCGUGGGGGAUGACGGCCUUCGGGUUGUAAACCUCUUUCAGCAGGGACGAAGUUGACGUGUACCUGCAGAAGAAGCGCCGGCUAACUACGUGCCAGCAGCCGCGGUAAUACGUAGGGCGCAAGCGUUGUCCGGAAUUAUUGGGCGUAAAGAGCUCGUAGGUGGCUGGUCGCGUCUGCCGUGAAAGCUUAGGGCUUAACCCUAGGUCUGCGGUGGAUACGGGCCGGCUAGAGGUAGGCAGGGGCAAGUGGAAUUCCUGGUGUAGCGGUGAAAUGCGCAGAUAUCAGGAGGAACACCGGUGGCGAAGGCGGCUUGCUGGGCCUUACCUGACGCUGAGGAGCGAAAGCGUGGGGAGCGAACAGGAUUAGAUACCCUGGUAGUCCACGCUGUAAACGUUGGGCGCUAGGUGUGGGGGUCUUCCACGACUUCCGUGCCGGAGCUAACGCAUUAAGCGCCCCGCCUGGGGAGUACGGCCGC